AUGAAAAUGGAGCAGCAGUUUCCGCAGAGAAUGAUCUUAUAAACAACAAUGAUAGAAUUUCUUGUGUUAAUGAUAGAAUGACCAGGUUUGUUACUACUUUUGAGCAAUUUUUGGAUCGGGGCAGCCUGCAGGUUGUUGAGGGAGAAUUAUAAGUCAGUGGAACUGAGAGGAUUUUCCUUCAAACUACGUGGUGGAAUCUCUUAGAAAGAUUUAAUCUUUAAGUUGAAAGCUGGACGACACCUCUUUUUGAAUCAAUAUCAGGUUCGGUGCACAUCCGGAGGUGAAAUACACCUCCCUCCUCAACAAAUCUGCCUUCAUCUCGAACAGCCAAAUGUCUGGGAGUCAUCUUGGAACACCUUACUGUAUUAUUUUAAAUGGACAAGUUCGGGUCGUUGCUGUGGCUAUAUAAUAGCUAAUUGGUUUAUUACUGUCACAUAUACCAAGAUGCAGCAAAAAGCAUUAGAUUGCAUGCCAUCCAGACAGAUCAUUCCAUAUAAGAUACAUCGAGGAAAAAAUAUAUAGAAUAUAACAUUAUAGUUCAA